CACCAAGUCAGAACUGUAGGACAAAUAAGGGGCAUAUAAGCAGACAAUGAAAGCUUUUACAAUAUUCAAUGAUUACAUUUCACUUAAACAGGUUAUAGGCUACAGUAGAGCAGUCGGAACAGUAGGCAAAAUUAAGAAGGGUAAAUAGACCAAAUGAUUAGGGUGAGGCAUAUGGCCUACUAAAAUCUUACUACACAACAUACACUUAGUAUUACUUUCUUAGGUACAGUAUACAUACCUCCCUGGCAUAUUACAGAAUUUAUGCCGCAGCAUACAAUACAUUUUUGGACUCACCUUGUUGUGCUGUGCUCACUUGAACAGGAAGGUGGAGUGGUGGUCCUUCGUGGGCAAAUUUUGUCAUCAAAUUCUGGCAUUCUUUGGAUUUAUGGUGCUUUCAAAACAAGUUGGAUGACCGUUCAAAAUGUAUUUUCCCAGUCGGAGCUCGUUUAUUCCCGACUUCCCGGUUGUCUUGAACUCACUAAAGUCAAGUUUUCGCAGUUCCGAGUUGUUGUUUUGAGCAUGACCCAAAUCAUGCUUCAUUGACAGCAUGGCCAAUGUUGAACGUUUAUCAUUUUAAACUUGGAAAAGAGCCACUUAAUGCCAUAUUUGGGACCACACAGCCACGGUCACUGAUUCCUUCCAAACCACUUGUCGAAUCUGUGAUUUCCAACUUGUUGUUGUGUAAUAUUUAUGUCCAAUAGCCGAUGAGCACCGAUACGUUUUACCCAUAAUUUCUCUUCAUAUGGCAAGGAUUAAAAAGGUUUUGUCAGUAGAUUGUCGACUUGAUUAAUGAUCGAUGACUGCUAGCUCAGAUUGGGAAAGUAUGACGUUGACGUGAUCAGUCCAGUCAAAGCUACUGUACAUUUGACGUCAUUUUAUCUGUGGCCAAUGACCUUGAGCCUUCUUGGAUGGACACUUAUAAUGUGACUAUGGCAGCACCCAAAGUGCUAGAAUUUUCAAGGUCUCCUCUUACACUUGGCAGUGACGUAGUGUCUCAAUGAGUGACAGAACACUUAGCAACGCUCUGUAUGUUCCGCUGGCUAGCCCCACCGCCACAGAAAGCACUGAGCUUGGCUGAAACACCUGCAUUUUGGAGCUGCCUUACUCAAGAAAGCAAAAAAAGAGACCAUGUUUGUAUGCAGCUUUAUUAACUCAAAGAUAUGCAUCAUUUUCUUACAUUGUUUGAAAACUGAUAUCUGACCUGUAUUAAUGCCAAAAUAACAUGCAAAACAGGCAAGCCCCUCUGCCCCACCUGCCCAGAAUGACGGGUUGCCACUGUUUCCUAUGUAUUGUAUUCAUGCUCCUCUUUAAGUACUUACAGUACAGUACACAAGGCAAGUGUCUGUAUAAUAAUAUACUUUACAUGGGUGUAUUCACUAGGAAACAAACAGACGCAAACAGGCCAAAAACGGGGAUGGGCAUACCUGAACUUAUCCAAUAAGAAACGUUUUGCUACGGUGUGCACUAAUAAAUACACGCCAUGACUCUUGUUUCAGUAUGGAAUCAUCUAGUGUUAAGGUAGACAAGAUAUCCCUACCCAGAGAGAACAUGUCUCUACCUUCCAACAUGCAACUCAACGACCUCAGCACCCUGCGUAAAGCACUCGAGACCGCCAAACACCACCUUGGGGACAAGAUGAGAGAGGAGGAGGAGGAUCUGUCUGCUGCCUACGCUGCCAGGGGCUUCGCCCUGUACCCCAUGGUGGGCUACAUCUAUAAGGUGAACAGCAAGAGCAGUGAUGAGAUCUGGCUCUGACUACUAUGCCCCAGUUCCACCACUGGGUGGUCAAACCACAGUGCAAUGGGGCCAAAAGGAACCUGUGGAACGACUGCCAGUCAACCAAUCAGCCGAUCCCAUCUUCAACAAGGACCAAUAGAGAUGCUGAGAUGAUUACAGGCGCAGACCAGCAAGGGGAACCUGUUAGGAAGAUACUGUAGUUAGCGAACUCACUCUGGGGUUGUCCAGAUGAACCUAUUACAGCAGGUAAUCACAUUCCAACUUGAUUCCGUGAAAAUCAGAAACUCAGAAUAUCAGGUCCUAUGUUGAUUGGUUAGUGUAAUUCAAGCUGACAGCUAAGUCUGUAGCCUGGUCCUAUAUCUGUUUGUGCUGUCUGUCUGUUUGGUGUGACUAUAUGUCACAAACAGAUCUGGGACCAGAAGGGUGCAGUUGUGAUAUCAAGUGAAUACAUUUAGAUGGCUCUAAACACCUAAACCGAUACUCAGUGUGGAAAGUAUACUGUACCCGUGUUUUAGAUGGUUUACACUGACUGACCCCUACCACUCCUCCAUAUGCUACAGUCUGUUGAUCACAUACCAUAACCAUGAACUCCUGUUGGAUUAAGGAAUGCUUCAUGUUCUUUGUAUAUCAUAAUGUCCAAGACAAUGUAUGUGAACUGACAUAUUUCUAUGGCUAUAUACAUAAACAAUAGAUAUUCAUCUACAAGUAUAAAAUAUGUGUAUAUGUAUAUUUGUAUUCAUAUGUAUAUGUGUAUAAAAUAAAUCUAAUAAAGAUGAAUAUGACUAUG